GAUGAACGCUGGCGGCGUGCCUAAUACAUGCAAGUCGAGCGAACAGACGAGGAGCUUGCUCCUCUGACGUUAGCGGCGGACGGGUGAGUAACACGUGGAUAACCUACCUAUAAGACUGGGAUAACUUCGGGAAACCGGAGCUAAUACCGGAUAAUAUAUUGAACCGCAUUGUUCAAUAGUGAAAGACGGUUUUGCUGUCACUUAUAGAUGGAUCCGCGCCGCAUUAGCUAGUUGGUAAGGUAACGGCUUACCAAGGCAACGAUGCGUAGCCGACCUGAGAGGGUGAUCGGACACACUGGAACUGAGACACGGUCCAGACUCCUACGGGAGGCAGCAGUAGGGAAUCUUCCGCAAUGGGCGAAAGCCUGACGGAGCAACGCCGCGUGAGUGAUGAAGGUCUUCGGAUCGUAAAACUAUGUUAUUAGGGAAGAACAAAUGUGUAAGUAACUAUGCACGUAUUGACGGUACCUAAUCAGAAAGCCACGGCUAACUACGUG
rnacentral:rRNA from 1 species